rnacentral:rRNA from 1 species
UACAGAGGGCUCAAGCGUUAAUCGGAAUCACUGGGCUUAAAGGGUCCGCAGGCGGAUUGGCAAGUAUCUUGUGAAAUACCACGGCUCAACCGUGGAAGCUGCUGGGUAAACUGCCAAUCUUGAAGCACGACAGGGCUACCAGAACUCUAGGUGGAGCGGUGAAAUGCG